GGUCUUUUUUGUUGAACAUUUUCUCUGGCUUGUUUGAAGUCCAAUAUUACCAAUGAAGACACAAAAGGAAGAAGAUAACUGAGUACUUCCUGAUCUCUAUGUCCUUUGUCAUCAGACCCCCACGUCCAUGCUGCAGUAGUUCCCAUAUUUUUCUUAGUCUUCCUUUUGCUGAUAAUGUAUCUGUAGAAACUCUUAUUGUUUCUCACAGUGCCUGACAGAUUCAUUCUAGAUGGACUUUGGCAUUUGUAACUGUAUCUGCAUAUUCAGAUGAUGUGAUUAUAUUCCUCCUCUUUCACCUGUCCCUGCUUCCACUCCUUGUAAAAUUUGAGUUUAGUCAGGAACAUUUUGUUCAUCCACGUAGACAUCUUGCUGCCAUUGCUUGACUACGUGAAUGUGGAAUAAACUAUUUCUGACCUUGGAGGAGGUGAUCCUUAAAAAUCAACAAAGUCUCCUGGAGUCCUCUUAUCUCCAGCAUUACUUCCCUUGGGAUUCUGUCAGACAGACCCUGGAAGGUGACAGGCCAAAGUCUGUUCUCAUAAUGUCCAUAAUUUUGAUCCUGUUUCUUGCCCCGAUCUCUCAAAAUCCUGACAUCCAUCAUCUGUACUCCUUGCUGCACCCAGACUUCACAUCCUCAGCUACGUUUUCCUUGUAAGUAUGAUGUUUAGUAGAUAUCAGGGAGUUUCAGGUCCUCAUGCUGACAUGAGCUUGCAAUUGUGAAGCUUCUUUCAGAUGUCUGAAGACUACUUCCAAUUGGAGUAUGCCAGAAAAAUUACAAACUUUCCAUUAGAUCACAAAUAUUAUUUAAUCUUCAUUACAGCAUCUUUUUAAUCUUGAUUCACUUAGAAGCGUUAUUCAAUAAUUUAAAAAUAAAGUAGAAUUGUACUCUGCAUAUAAAAUAAUAAAUAUGUAUUUCUUUUCAGAUUUUUGCUACUGAAUCAUUGCUGAACAUUGCAAAGAGAAUAACAGCUAAAUAUCUUUCCAGCUGGAUUUCAAGACUUUUACUUGUCUGAUUAGCCUAAUAAGAUUUAAACUUUUUAAGGAACAAUAUUCAUUACCUCAGAAUGAGCAAUACAGUACAAUGACUGAAGUGAGCUGGUGCACAGUUUUGUUUUGAAACAUUUCAAACUGUUUAGUUUCUUCAAAAUGGAUAGCCAUUUUGGAUAACCUUAUUAAUGAGCGUGUUUUUGUUUUGUUUUUCUGCAAGUUUUGAAGAAAAUUUGCUUGACAUU
ensembl:lncRNA